CGUACUUCUCUAUUCUCUAAUAAAACCAAGCAGAAAUGUGGAGAAACUUGUGCCAUCGGCAUCUUUUUUCCUCUUUUUGUAUUUUUUCUUAAUUUUUCCUGUGCUUUUUAUACAGAUUCUCACUGCCACUCCCUAGAGGAAGUUGUCAAGCUUCUGAGUGCUGCUGUAGAGGCAGAAUAUGCAACUUUGCUGCAGCAGUGCUUGCUUUGGCUGGAGCAGUAAGGCGGCAUUGUCAUGCUCCUUCAGUGCACGAGCACAGCCAGCUGUAAGGUGUGGAGAAAAUCAUGGAAAGUAAGUGUGCAAUUCCAGUCAUUCGUAGAGUCAACUGGAAAAAGAAUGAAUUGUGAACAACGUGAUUAUAUCCCUCCAAAUCCUUCAACCUUUGUAGUGCACAGUGCAGGAGGGAGGAUGUCUGAGAACACACUGACCAAUGCCAAACCAGAGCAGGAAGGUAAUGCUCCUGUCCUUUUCUUGCCUUCUCUGCUGUCCAGUUUGCUGCCACUGUUUGUUUAUUGAGAUAGAUAAAUUGAAUACUGAAUUCCACCGCUCCACAAUCAGCAAAUCUCACUAGCCUGAGUUUUAAAAUCACAAGAUCUUUUUACUGUGAUAUUUCAAAAGUCAAAUAUAUUCAGUAUAAUGGCAGACAACUGGCCACGCACUAAUUCACAUAGGGUAAAAGAAUCAUGGAAUCAUAGAGUCAUACAGUCAUAGAAUCAUAGAAUAGCUUGGGUUGGAAGGGAUCUCAAAGAUCACUCCGUUCCAGCCCGCCUGCCAAGGGCAGGAACUAAAUUAGGAUGGCCUUGAAAUCUCAGAGUCCUUCACGUUGAGUUGCAGAUGAGUUGCAAGUAUUUAUGUGGACUGAGGACCUAAUGGAACAAAUUUCAUUCACAUGAAGUGGAACAGCUGGCUCAGCAGUGUUCACAUUCACCUGAAAUUCUGAAGAAAAAAUUUAAGUUACAUUGAUCGGAGGAAAAAAAGCAAAAUAAAAUCAGAGCAUGAGAACUGAAAAAUGCA
rnacentral:lncRNA from 1 species